rnacentral:lncRNA from 1 species
AGAGUGAAACUCUGUUUCAAAAAAAAAAAAAAGGAAGUGCCUACCCAAAAUGCUGUAGCAAAAAAUUCUGGACAGUGGUGUGGUUGAACAACAGCCUCUAUCGAAGGCACGAGAGGGGGAAGGGUGUGUGUGCCACACAUUUGCCAUCCCUGACCAAAUGUGACCCCUGCCUUUCCGGUGACUUGCACAUGGCUUGUUGCUAGUUAGUGGCACAGCCGGGACUACACCCUAGGUUUCCUGACUUCCAAGCCAUUGUUCUAACUCAGGAAGCCAUUGCUCUAACUCAGGAAGAAAGCUCCCCUCCUCAGUAAGUGCUGUGGAGCGGUAGCUCUCUCCCAGAGCUUGCUGGUGGGCUCUCACAGGCUCCCAGUGUUCUUAGCCUGUGAGUCCACUCCACUCUUGGCAACCCUUCCUGACAGCCACUGAAAGACUACCUUUGGCAUCUGUCAACACUUAACCUGGGAGGCAGAGGUUGCAGUGAGCCGACAUCGCGCCACUGCAUUCCAGCCUGAGUGACAGAGCAAGAUUCCAUCUCACAGGGUGGGGGGUGGGGAAGCUUGCCAUAUAAAGAAUACUUUCUGCAGGGCCUGUGCGGAGAUCCACUGUCUUGUGGCUGCCUGAGACAUGGCUUCUAUUUGGAGAGGAUCCAGAUGGGACAGGAUAUGUCCCGGUAAGGGUGCCCCCAGUUGCAUCUCCUGGUUCCAUUAUAAGCCUUGUUUCUUCUGCUCCUGUACUCAUCAUCUCCCAUAACUAGACUUCUAGAAGUUGGAUGGAUCUUCCUGACCUCACACAACCAAUAAACCAUUCCUCCCCUGCAAGCAAGCCUGAGCUGAAGGUUGGCAGUGCCAUGCUGGCAAGAAAGAUUCCAGAGACUUCG